CCUACGGGUGGCAGCAGUGGGGAAUAUUGGGCAAUGGGCGCAAGCCUGACCCAGCAACGCCGCGUGAAGGAAGAAGGCUCUCGGGUUGUAAACUUCUUUUCUCAGGGACGAAGCAAGUGACGGUACCUGAGGAAUAAGCCACGGCUAACUACGGGCCAGCAGCCGCGGUAAUACGGAGGUGGCAAGCGUUAUCCGGAUGUACUGGGUGUAAAGGGCGUGUAGGCGGGGCUGCAAGUCAGAUGUGAAAGCCACGGGCUCAACCUGUGGCCUGCAUUUGGAACUGUAGUGCUUGAGUGCAGGAGGGGCAGACGGAAUUCCUGGUGUAGCGGUGAAAUGCGUAGAUAUUAGGAGGAACACCAGUGGCGAAGGCGGUCUGCUGGACAGCAACUGACGCUGAGGCGCGAAAGCGUGGGGAGCAAACAGGAUUAGAUACCCUGGUAGUC
rnacentral:rRNA from 1 species